AGCAGCCGCGGUAAUUCCAGCUCCAAUAGCGUAUAUUAAAGUUGUUGCAGUUAAAAAGCUCGUAGUUGAAUUUCGGGAUCAGCAGGUCGGUCGUGCCAAUGGUAUGCACUGGCCUUGCUGAUUCCUCCCUCUUGAUGAGCCGUAAUGCCAUUAAUUUGGUGUUGCGGGGAAUCAGGACUGUUACUUUGAAAAAAUUAGAGUGUUUAAAGCAGGCAA
rnacentral:rRNA from 1 species